CCAGAGGGUCGGGCGGCCGCGGCCCGCAUGCGUGCGGGGCGAGGAAAGUCCGGGCUUCACGAAACGACGGUGCCGGAUAACGUCCGGCGGGCCAUGGGGCUUCCCUUCGGGGAAGGGCCAUGGUUCAGGGACAGUGCAACAGAAAGCAGGUCGCCAAAGGCUUCAGGCCCUAAAGCUUCGGCGAGGCGACAGUGAAAGGGUGCGGUAAGAGCGCACCGCGCCCCCGGCAACGGCGGGCGGCUUGGUAAACCCCACCGGAAGCAAGACCGAAUAGGGACGGCAUUGCCUGUCUUCGGGCAGGCAGGGGCGGUUUCGGCCCCGAUCGUCCGGGUUGGUCGCUUGAGGCCGGAAGCAAUUCCGGCCCUAGAGGAAUGGUCGCCCAUCCGCCGGCGCGUCCCCCCUGGGGAUACGGUUGGUGGUGGACAGAACCCGGCUUACAGACCCUCUGGCACG
rnacentral:RNase_P_RNA from 1 species